UAUAUCAUUAACCAACAGA
rnacentral:snRNA from 1 species